UUUAAGCCUGUAACUAGAUGACUGAAAGACCAUAUCAGUCAGAUUCAGUUCUCAGCAAUGCCUUUUAAAAGGGGAUUAAAGAAAUCCAGAUUGACUAAAUCCUCAGAAAAUGCUGAACAAAAUAUCCAUCAGUAGGAAGGAGACACCUAUAGGGACACUUCAUUUCAAUUUUAAAUGAAUCAUUGGAGAAAACAUAAUCUGAAAUUCAUGAAACCGAGAGAGAACAUAGCUGCUGUCCUUCAGCUUCCAUAUUAACACAGGAAUGACAUGCCCUCAAGGAGGUUGACUCAAUUUUUUCUGAGCCAUCAAGAUGUAUUAGAAACCCUGAUGUAGUUUUUUCUCAAGAAAGAAAAAAAACCCCACCUUUCAUUAGGUGACAGCAGAAGACUUUGUGUAUGUUUAUACUGUAUUCUAAGCUCAGGCUCUGACUCAGGUUUGAGUCCAAGUCCUCAUUCUGUCUACAUACAAAUCAGUCUAACUUGGCUCAGCAAGCACUCAGAACCUAAGUCCUAACCCCCUGUUUUGGGGAUGGGGUAUCAGAGCCCAUGUUCUUCUCAGACUUGGGUCCAAUCCCUGUCAUUUUACAGUAAGGACACAGCUCAAACAGCAGACCUGAGUUAAAGGGUUUCCAGUUCAGUGUAGGAAUCUCCAAAGUGGCCUGAUUUGUGACUGAUUUCUGGUGGUGGUCCCAUACUGCCCCCAAAAUGCUGAGAUACAGUACUGGACAUUGAAAUAACUGGCAGAAAUCAGCUUGCUUUGGACAGUGGAUCAGCUGAAUAUCUUAAAUUCCCUGUUGAAUCCUGGCAUUAUUAUGUACUGUGUGUGUGCGGCCAAUUCAGGGGUGCCUGUUAUUGCUCCAGCAGCUUAACAGAUGGAUCUUCACUGUGCAUUUAGGGCUCACAACUGGAAUGCUGCAGUGCACAGCCCUGCUGAAUGGAAAAGAAAGGCACUGAUUCUGGAAGACUGGAGCAACUUGGAGCAUUGGAUCCUGGUUUGUAAGAUAGACAAUAGUACAUUUUGUUUUGAUCGCAAAUUUUUUUUUCUUCUUCAUUCUUUGAAAUAAGCUUUGCCUAGCCCUCCUUCUAAACAGUUAUCUGUAUAUAUCGGACAAUAAGAAGAUGAGCAUGUACCCAGGCUCCAACCUUGUGAGGACUUAGCAUACAUCUACACCUCAAGGGAAGGUGUAAUUGUAAUGUGUGUAGCGGUGUUCCCUCUCAUUUCUUCCAUAUAUGUGUGGAACAAAUUUUGUUAUGUGCACCAAAGUAUGCAUGGAUAUGCACCACCAGUAGAAACACAUUCUGCUGGCUCUGGGAACUGUGGACACUUUGCUAAUCAGCUGAGCGGCAUUUGAACCUCUCCUGGGUGGCCGCCCGAGUGCUCACCUUACAGAAAACACUGGUGUAUGAGUCCUAGCUAGUGUGGGUAACACUCAUGGGUGAAAGCAUGGCAGCAGAGAUCAUAGAAGUGGGUGCAGAUAGCAAUUGUAAUGAAGAUGUGGCAAGACGGAUUUAGGUUCUAGAUAUCAACCAUAGUAUGUACUUGCUAGAUGAAAGUUAAUAAAGGCUUGCUUUCAUGUACUGCAGUCACAACUUAAAUUGCUGUGUAGAUUUACCCAUAUGCCCAUGAUCAGGGCUCACCAAGUGACAACGAACCCUGCUCGCCAGCCGUGCGGUUCUGCGGUCUGCGCAUGCGCAGACCGGGCUGCGCCAGUUUUGCAACUUGUAAUCUACUCGCCACGGGUGAGUAGAUGACAUAAUUUGUUGAGCCCUGCCCAUGAUGCUAAAAAGAUUACUUGCAGAGGGUAAAAUUAAUCAUCUGUAAAUUACUGCAGUAUCGGGGCUCUGGUGAACUAUGAGCCAAAAUAGAGGAAGAGAGGGGGGCACAUUUAAAAAUUGUCAUUGAUAUUCAGGUUUUAGUGUUUAUUCUCUGGAAACUUUCAAGAAUUUCUUCAGUUCAGGGUUGAAAAUCCAAACUGGUAGAUUAUUAGUAAACUGAAAUCUGAUUGGGUUUUUACUGGGUGAGGUAAGAUUUUGUAUUGAGCCAACUUAUUAGCCAAAAGCAAACUACACAGUUGAAACAACACCCUACUCUCACUACUGUCAGUGGAUAUUCUCCAUCAGUGUAUUAAAGCAGAGUAAAAUGAAAGGAUAAUGUCUAGCUCUCCCUCCCCCAAGGUAACUAUCUUUUUGCAGAGAUCUUCAAAAAUGGUUGUUUUUUUUUAAUUCAAUUCUCUUCCUUUACUUGGAAUGUCAGGUCCCCUUUGUUAAUACACUGCAGCAUCCUGGUUACUACUUGCAAAAUUUAAAUGGCAAAUUAUGAAGGAAAAAAUUCUCUUGUGUGCUCCCGGAUGACCCAAUGUGCUAUCCUAAGGGAAGGAUUAUCUGACUUUAUCAUUUGCUGGCUUUCUCUGCUCUCAUCUUAGAACUCACAGUGCUGCUUUCUUUCCUACUCUUUUCAUUCUUAUAGUGAUCCCUCACCCCAGUGACACGAUGAUGUAGACUAUGUAAAGAUAUAGAGAUGCCAAAAGGAGGAAAGAAGUUCUGGGAAGCUGUAUAAUUACUAAUUUUGAUAUUGGGGAGGAGGGCAACCAAACUGUUUCCCAUUUCCUAUAGUUAAAGAUUUGAGACUCAGUUCCUCCAUUAUUUUGUUUAUUUUUAAUGUAUUUUAGUCUACAUAGAGUAUAAUCUAUUGCUUUUAUUUCUAUAUCUUGGGCCAAAUUCAUAUGUGGUAUGGGCUAGGUAGAUGAAUAUUAGACACUCUAAGUUUUAUACCAAGUAUAAUAAGGGAAUCAAAAUUAAGUGACCAGGACAUUGCAUAUUAAGAAGAAAAAAUAACGUCUAUAUUGUGUAAUGACCUGAAUAGCCACCAAAAGAUUUCAACAACUCAUGGUACUCAUACUGGUGAACUAUGUAUACCUGAUUUUUGUGUGUACAUGUAUAUAUGGGUAAUACUCUAAGUUAGAUCGUGCAUUUCUUAAGGCAGAUACUCUGUUUUCUUAUGUUUGCAAGUCACCAAACAAGUUGUCAAAGAUCAAUAAAUAAUUUACAAGUAGAUGUCCCCUACUUCCCAUAUAAGUUGUGUAAUUACUGUGUGGAUCUGCAUAUCUGAAGGCCAUCUAAGAACAAUUUUUUGAAUAAAUA